UUGUGAUUUUAAAUGCCUUAUUAAGAGAUCAUUAUGGAUACUGCAUUCAUGUUUGCCAAAAAUCUUAACAGAUGAUUCUAUUCUUGAUUCUGAUAACACAGCUGUUUAUAUUGCUGCCAGUAGGAAAGGAACAGAUUAAAAGUGACUGCUGAUGAUCUUGGAGCCUGAAUUCGCAGGAUACCCUUCCUAAAGGACUACUACCAGAUGACUGCCACAGCUUUCAAAAAUGGACACAAUUGGAGUCAAACCCAUCAAAAGACAGAAGAGGAAAGAACCAAUACUUUAGCCAAGUGAGCAGAGAAGCAUCUAUUUUGUUCCUGCCAAUAAACUGAAGACAACAAGCAGAGAGUGCAAUAACGAUGUAUAAGCCAUAACUUGAUGAAAGAAUACCUAAAGGUGAACUUCGGGCAGGGCAUGCACACGCCACGGCAUCUCCAGCAGUCCUGGCCCUCCACUGGCCCCGCUGGAAGGACUCCUGUCACCCCAAUGUGGCCUUCUUGAGCCCGUGUGCCCCAAUUUUCCUUCCUCAGAACGGGUGUAGGUUGUGCCCAGGAUAUGCACAUGGAUGGAUGCACCUGGAAAUGUUUCUGUAUCCUACUGAGAGAGUUAUCCGGCGGUUUAGUCUCCUUUUAGACACUCAAGGUUGGAAAAAGAUGAUGUUAUGUUUUUACUUCUUUCAUAAUAUAUACUACCUACCUAUUUUUUUCCCCUCAAAACACAGCUUUCAUACUUUCAGUUUUUUGCCUUUGGGAGACAAUAAAA
rnacentral:lncRNA from 1 species